AACGCUGGCGGCAUGCCUUACACAUGCAAGUCGAACGGUAACAGGUCUUCGGAUGCUGACGAGUGGCGAACGGGUGAGUAAUACAUCGGAACGUGCCCAGUAAUGGGGGAUAGCUCGGCGAAAGCCGGAUUAAUACCGCAUACGCCCUGAGGGGGAAAGUGGGGGAUCGCAAGACCUCACGUUAUUGGAGCGGCCGAUGGCUGAUUAGCUAGUUGGUAGGGUAAAGGCCUACCAAGGCGACGAUCAGUAGCUGGUCUGAGAGGACGAUCAGCCACACUGGGACUGAGACACGGCCCAGACUCCUACGGGAGGCAGCAGUGGGGAAUUUUGGACAAUGGGGGAAACCCUGAUCCAGCAAUGCCGCGUGUGCGAAGAAGGCCUUCGGGUUGUAAAGCACUUCUGUCAGGGAAGAAAUCCUUUGGGCUAAUACCCUAGGGGGAUGACGGUACCUGAAGAAUAAGCACCGGCUAACUACGUGCCAGCAGCCGCGGUAAUACGUAGGGUGCAAGCGUUAAUCGGAAUUACUGGGCGUAAAGCGUGCGCAGGCGGUUGUGUAAGACAGGUGUGAAAUCCCCGGGCUUAACCUGGGAAUUGCAUUUGUGACUGCACGACUAGAGUGUGUCAGAGGGGGGUGGAAUUCCACGUGUAGCAGUGAAAUGCGUAGAUAUGUGGAGGAACACCAAUGGCGAAGGCAGCCCCCUGGGAUAACACUGACGCUCAUGCA
rnacentral:rRNA from 1 species